GCUGGGAUGGUGGAAUGGCAGACACGCAAGCUUGAGGUGCUUGUGGGAGCAAUCUCGUGCGGGUUCAAGUCCCGCUUCCAGCA
rnacentral:tRNA from 1 species